rnacentral:rRNA from 1 species
UACGGGGGGGGCAAGCGUUGUUCGGAAUUACUGGGCGUAAAGGGCUCGUAGGCGGCCAACUAAGUCGGAUGUGAAAUCCCCAGGCUCAACCUGGGAACUGCAUCCGAUACUGGAUGGCUUGAAUCCGGGAGAGGGAUGCAGAAUUCCAGGUGUAGCGGUGAAAUGCGUAGAUAUCUGGAGGAAUACCGGUGGCGAAGGCGGCAUCCUGGACCAUAACUGACGCUGAGGCACGAAAGCGUGGGUAGCAAACAGG